rnacentral:rRNA from 1 species
UACGAACUGUCCUAACGUUGUUCGGAAUCACUGGGCUUAAAGGGCGCGUAGGCGGUCCGUCAAGUCAGGGGUGAAAUCCUGCAGCUUAACUGUAGAAGUGCCUCUGAUACUGACGGUCUUGAGGGAGAUAGGGGUGUGCGGAACUUCCAGUGGAGCGGUGAAAUGCGUUGAUAUUGGAAGGAACGCCGGAGGCGAAAGCGGCGCACUGGAUCUCUUCUGACGCUGAGGCGCGAAAGCUAGGGGAGCAAACGGG